rnacentral:rRNA from 1 species
GACGAACGCUGGCGGCGUGCUUAACACAUGCGAGUCGAACGGAAAGGCCCUGCUUGCCGGGUACUCGAGUGGCGAACGGGUGAGUAACACGUGGGUGAUCUGCCCUGCACUUCGGGAUAAGCCUGGGAAACUGGGUCUAAUACCGGAUAGGAGCCAUUUUUAGUGUGAUGGUUGGAAAGUUUUUUCGGUGUAGGAUGAGCUCGCGGCCUAUCAGCUUGUUGGUGGGGUAAUGGCCUACCAAGGCGGCGACGGGUAGCCGGCCUGAGAGGGUGGACGGCCACAUUGGGACUGAGAUACGGCCCAGACUCCUACGGGAGGCAGCAGUGGGGAAUAUUGCACAAUGGGCGCAAGCCUGAUGCAGCGACGCCGCGUGGGGGAUGACGGCCUUCGGGUUGUAAACUCCUUUCGCUAGGGACGAAGCUUUUUGUGACGGUACCUAGAUAAGAAGCACCGGCUAACUACGUG